AAGAGUAAAAGUUGGGGAAAGGCGCCAUCACAUUUUUUGUACUGAUAGACAGAUGCAACUACUCGCACGCGCAAAAACUUGGUAUAUGGAUGCAACUUUUCGGGUGGUGAACAAGCCAUGGUCUCAGCUGUUUUCCAUCCACGCCUUCAUUAAGACUGGAGAGACCACCCGACAGUUACCAUUGGUGUUUUGUGUAAUGUCGGGUAAAAGCCAAGACGACUAUUAUAAGUCAGUGAUGAUAUGUGACUCUUUCCACCUUCCAGCAAUAAUUAUUGAGAAUUUACCAAGGACUCCAUUGGCAUUGAAUCGAAGAAAAAGAGUUUCAAUAUUGGAUGUAUAUGCAAAUCUCCCAGAAAAAGAACAUGUAAUAACAAAAGAAAUUAUAAAAGAAAAAAAUGGAAGAAGAAAUGGCUGGAAAAAAUGAUGAUAGAGCAGCUUUUUCUUGUUACCCACCUCGGAAGAUCAAGUUGGAAAGGGCUAUUGAUAUUGUGGAGACGUUUUCUCACAGAUCUUGCUUAUCAGACAAAGACUAUGCUGGAACACCAUUGAAAGAGUAUUUGCUGUAUGAUAACAACAAGAAAACCCAAGCAUCAAUUUAUUUUAUACCUCUGGGAAAGAAUGCAUUUGACCCAAUUUUUAAAUAUUUAUUUUUUGUUAUUAAUGUUAAAUUUUCUUCCAAAACACAAUUAGAUUUUAAUUCUCUUCAGAAAUGUAUGUAUAAUAUAGCAAGUAAAGUGACAUAUAAAUCACUUAGAAUUUGGUCAGAAAUCAUAAAGUAUUUAAUAGGCAUUACUAGAAACCAAAUGUAGAUCAAAUACACCCAGAAUUACAAAAAACCUUGACCUACAUAAAGGUGACUUUCCCUUGCUUAUGAAAUGAAAUACGGUUUAGUAUCCUACUUUUCUGUGUUCUUAGAGUGAUUCUGCCCUACACCCUACUCUUAUAUUAAAUAUUUCAACUGUCAAGGGUUCUU